rnacentral:rRNA from 1 species
GAUGAACGCUGGCGGCGUGCCUAAUACAUGCAAGUCGAGCGAACAGACGAUGAGCUUGCUCCUCUGACGUUAGCGGCGGACGGGUGAGUAACACGUGGAUAACCUACCUAUAAUACUGGGAUAACUUCGGGAAACCGGAGCUAAUACCGGAUAAUAUAUUGAACCGCAUGGUUCAAUAGUGAAAGACGGUUUUGCUGUCACUUAUAGAUGGAUCCGCGUCGCAUUAGCUAGUUGGUAAGGUAACGGCUUACCAGGGCAACGAUGCGUAGCCGACCUGAGAGGGUGAUCGGCCACACUGGAACUGAGACACGGUCCAGACUCCUACGGGAGGCAGCAGUAGGGAAUAUUCCGCAAUGGGCGAAAGCUUGACGCAGCAACGCCGCGUGAGUGAUGAAGGUCUUCGGGUCGUAAAACUCUGUUAUUAGGGAAGAAAAAAUGUGUAAGUAACUAUGCACGUCUUGACGGUACCUAAUCAGAAAGCCACGGCUAACUACGUG